rnacentral:lncRNA from 1 species
UUAAGAAGAUGUAUGUCUUCAUCCAAGAUACUGAGAAAAAUAGUAAAAAGGUAGUGUUAUGAUAAACAACUGAAAAUCUUUAGCUAUUAUCUGCCCCUGAUUAUGUGAUAUUUUCUAAUUAUUGUUUUUCAAUCAGAAAUUCAGAAAGUAUUCACCUACUUGAUAUAUCAUCCAUCCUACACUAUUUCUUUUAGCUCACAAAAUUAAGAUAACCUUGUUCAGUGUUUUAAAAUCAGAAUAUUUCCCUAUUUAAAAAUGGAAUAUACCAAAGGUAAUUUUGGUUAUAUUUUACAGUUUAAAAAUUUUUGGAUUGUAGAGUAAAUGAUACUUCUUAUAGAUUGUUAUAAUUUAGAAAUUCAUUUUCUCCCAAAAGUCCAUGUAUUCAAGGCUUGCCCCCCCCCCACCCCACCAAUGGGGCUACUGGGAGGUGGUGGAACUUUUAGGAGGUGGGGCCUGAUGGAAGGAAGUCAAGUCUUUGGCUCCCCCUCCUCUCCUUGUUUUUCCUAGCUGUCAUGGGAUAAGCAGCUUUGGUUUACCACACAGUUCCCUCCAUGAUUUUCUGCUUUGCCACCAUCCACAACGCAAUAAAGCCAGCUUACCAUAAACCAAAACCUCUGAAACUCUGAGCCAAAAUAGACCUUUCCUCCUUUAAAGUGGAUUUCUCUCAGAUAUUUCUCACAGCAAUGGAAAUCUAACACAGAGAUGAUUUAGAAUUAGUUAGGUAAUAUACUACCCACAGAAGAAAUAAGACUCAUAGAACACUAGUUUCUGUUUUUGUCUUACAUAUAAUAAUAACAGUGUGUGCAUUUAUCUUCCAUUUUAUAUAAAUUCAAAACACAUGCACAAGAGGCUACCAUUCUACCUGCUGGAAGGUCUUAUUUGCAAGAUGUGUGUGUGUGUGUGUGUGUGUGUGUGUGUUUCUUCCCUCCCUCCCUUUCUUCCUUCCUUUCUUCCUCUGUCUCUUUUGCAGUUCUGAUGAUCAUACCCAUAGUUUCAUGCAUGCUAGGCAAGCAUUUAACCACAGAGCUAUGCCCCCAGCUCCAUAUUCUACAGUUUUACUUGUAAAAAAAUCUAACAGGAGUAGUAAUUUCUUCAGAGUAGUGAAAUAGUCCAAAUUAGUUCACACUGGAAGAUUUUUCUGUGAUUGCUAGGGAUUCCUCAAUGAAAUAUUUAAAAAAAAGAAGAAGAAGAAAUAAAGGGUGCAAGUAAAUUUCUUACUUUCGUAUAUAUAGAAAUUCAAAUCAAUAUUAACUACAACUGGAAACUAUUUUAAGUGAAAUAAUAAAUGUAUGUAAAAUCUAAACUCAAAAUGACAUUUCUAUAUUAAUUAUCCUGUGUCUGCAAAGAAAGAAAUACAAACGAUUAAAAGUUGAAAACAUCAGUAGGAGAGAGGCACAAGAGUGUCAUAAGUUUAUAAUUUUUUACUUAUGAAUGUGUCUUGCAUUUAGACAGCUAGUAUGCACUCAUAUUCUUGGCAAAAUACAUUUAAAUGCCAGUAAAAUGGUUAUAUAACUAAAUCAGUGUAAAAUAAAUAUCUAAAGCUAAAAGUAAUUUAUAGCAGCUACUUCCUAAUCACUCUUUUUGUCAGGUUGUUACUAUUUAGUUUAUAUUGCUACUUUUGGCACUUUAAACAGAGUAGUUUUCUCAUCUUUCAUACUGUCACCUCCCAAAGUACAUGUGCUCCAUGCCUGGCCUACUCAUGUUUUCAGUCCCAUAUGUGUUACAGACUGCGCUGUGGUAUAUGGGACAAGAGUUUGAAAUUAUCAUUAGAGAUGGGUGUUAGUUUUUCAUCUUACAAAUGAUUGAAGUAGAAAACAAAAAGAUAUUUUGUCAGUAUAGACAAAUACAUUCUAGAUGCAUAACAGUGAUGACUCAUUCCCAAUCUUUCUAAAGGCUGAAAUGUCCAUCCCUUACUGGAGGCUCUGACCCAACCAGUGUUGGGGGGUUCUUUUAAGGGACUCCUGGGUAAAGAGAACAGAGGCAAUGUGAUGAUUCUUCCUCAUGCUGUGUGCUUUUAAUGCAUGCAUUAAAGGGCUGUAGUUCCUUUACUUGAGGAGCUUAUUGUUUUUGCUGGGUCUUAGUCAAAUUGUAUCAUUUGCUCCUAGUGAUAAGGUACAUUAUUAAUGUCCUUAUACUUUGAUUUUUCUAAUUUGAACAACUCAGAUGAUAAUACAUGCUUGGCUUUUUGUAUGGUGGACUAACAUAAUUCUAGUAGGGUUUUCCUUUCUUUUCCAUUUUAUAAAUAAAAUUGUAUCAUUUGUACAUUAAAAAUGAUUAUUAUUCCCCAUGUUUCUUAGCACCUGUGUAAUAAUCUUGUUUUUAUUUCUUUUCCAAGAUAGAAAUAAGUGAGUAAUAUACUGUUACUUACCACCAAUUAAAUGUUCUUUUUAAUCUCAUUCUCUUUUCUAUUUGCUUUCCUAGAAAUAAUGAUUAUUAAAAUAAGAUUAUAAUUAAAAGGAAAUAUUUAAAAAUAGGGGGAGAAUAAAGAAGAGGAAAAAGAGAGUUACUAGAGAACAAAAUUGACCAAAUUUUAUUGUUAAAUUGUGUGCAUUUACAAAUAUGUGACAAUGAAUUCUAGUAUGUCUAACUAUAAUGCACAAAUACAGCAUAGCUUGAAAAAUAAAAAAUAAAUAAUAACCUUUUCCUUAGCAUUUAAAUCUUUAUAUAAUCUGUGAAAAUAAUAAAAUUUAAGUAGUAAAAUGCAUCCAUCUAACAUUCAAGUGAUUUCAUUUCUUCUUUUUUUUUAUUGGUUGUUCAAAACAUUACAAAGCUCAUGACAUAUCAUCUUCCAUACAUUUGAUUCAAGUGGGUUAUGAACUCCCUCAUUUCUUCUAACUAUGAUACAAACUUAGGGAUAGGAGUUUACUCAAACCAAGCAUCUUUGGCUAUUUAAUGUCACAGGUAAUAGGUAGAGUGUUCCC